GAGCCCGUGGUCUAGCGGUAUGACGUCUCAUUCACACUGAGGAGGUCGCCAGUUCGAAUCUGGCCGGGCUCA
rnacentral:tRNA from 1 species